UGUUCCAGCAUAGAUUUUAAGAGUUUACACGUUCACAGUUUUACCUUGUUCAUAACCCCACGUGCGUCUGCGGCUUCGGCAGUAAAACCAAAACCCGGCAGCUGUCAAAAAAUGUGCAGUUAUCACCAAAAUCGGAGCCAGGACGUAGCGGUCGGAGAGAGGUCCAGACUGUUGCCGUGGCGCUGCCUCUUCAGAACCAGUAAAUAAAUGAACACGAACUAACGGAAAUGUAAGUGCGGCGGUGAGAAGGAAACCACAGGAGUCGCUGCACGCACUUCCUCUACCACACCUGAUGAAUGUCUCUAUGAACUCAAUGAGAUCUGACCUGUAACUUGGCCUGGUAGUGUCUUCUGCAUGUGUCCGUGAAGAAUUAGAAAAGUUUAAGGUGGGCUCUUCUAGAAAAGUUACACAGUGCAUCUUUAAAAUAGCUGCAAAAAGAGGAUUUGAAAUGAUAAAAACCUGCAUCAAAGUCACAUUUUAAGCACAAUUCCAGUUUAUUUUUUCCUAUAUCCCACCCGGAAUAUUCAAGAAGUCAACUGAUAUUUUGCACCUGAUCAACAACAUUUCCUGGUGGUGUGACGCUAACUGUACGCACUGCUCUGUCUCACGAUCUGUUACUCAAAUCAGACUUUCAUCUGAGUUUCGUUUUACCACAAUUGGCCCAGAAAAGAACUGACAACAGAUGAGCCGAUUUGAAACGUCUCACACGCAAUUUUGCAUUUUUCACUUGCGUUAUGAGACAAUCUUGAAACUUUCUGUCAGUGUUUAUUAAUGUGUGCAUCGCGUCACCAUGGUAACUUCUACAUUCCACCGUAGACGUACAUGUAGAACACCUCCCAGCAUGAUGUCAAGGCAAAAUAUCGAUACAAAGGACCUAUUCAUCUGCUUGACAUGUCGGCUGUUGCUGGGGGGUGACGCGUCUUCUGAUUGGAGCCUGGGUGAUGCAGCAGAGUCCAGCAGUGACUCAGGUCUGACUAAAGUUACCGUCACCUCUCCCGAAAUCUCCCCGAUGUGAAUGUGGGCGGGUGAGAGCGGGCGAGACAGGAGGGGGGGCAGAAAUCAGCUGCUGUUUUUGUCUUAGCAACCGCCACAUAAACAGUACACAAACUAAUAUCAGAGAGACCGAGCAAUCAUCAGAGCCAGAGUGCAAUAUUCAAGUGUUAAAGUGCAAGUAAAAUUGGGUUAAAGAUGCACUGUGUAGCUUUUCUGGUGGAGGGUAAUGCUGUUUUAUUACUUAUUUUUCUUUUUUAUUUUGACAUGUACAUAUACAUUUAUAUAUUGUGCCUCUUGCCAUCUUCUUUUCUGCUACUUAUUUAGAAUUUAUUAUUACUCAGAGUGUCAUGGUCAGUGUGUGGGGGCCUUAGGCGAACUUGGGUUUCGGGCCCUCACUAUAAUGCAAAUUUAGUUUGUUUUUAAUUUUUGUUUUGUUUUUUUCCCCAUUGUUCUUGAGACUGGAAGUAGUUUUUAUUUUUUUGCUAGUACAAUUACAUUUUUGUUUACAUCCGUUGGUGGUUGAUGGUAGCGCUGUUUCUGGUAACGGUACAUGUUUUCGUGCCGAAUUGUUUCGUUUUUUUGGCCAAAAAUAUAAAGACUGAGUAAAACUUCAUGCUGGAACUGUUAAUGCUGUGCUUUACUUUAUAAUAUUUCAUACAUUUAUUGCUUAUUGCUGAAUAUUUACUUAGUUUAAUAGUACCAAGCAGCACUUUGCAUUUAUUUUAUUUUCCCAUUUGUAUAAUGUUAAAACAAACUGCUGGUUUAAUAAAAACACAAAUAAACAACAAGCAAGUGGUUUUGCAUUUUGUUCCCAAACUGUACCAAAAAUGAUCCAAACCAUGACCUCAAAACUGAGGUGCAUACCAAACCGUGCUUUUUGUGUACAGUUACACCCCUAAUUAUCACCAUUUAUUUUUUCACUUUUUUAUUAUUUUAUAUUGUGAUGUGUGAGCGAAUGUGUCCAAAUAAUUUCCCUCGUGGAUCAAUAAAGUUUGUCUAAGCCUAAGUUUAAUGUUAUUGCUUUGUCUCUAGCUUUGAUACUUUGCAGUGACAUCAUGCUGGGGGAGUUCUACAUGUAUGUCUAUGGCAAAAAUGGUCAGCAGAACCAUGGUCACACAAUGCACACAUUUGCAAACAUUGCCUGAGUUUUUAGACAGUCUGAAAACUCAACAAAAAAAUACAAAAUGGAUUAAAACAACACGUUUUUGUGAUCAAUCCGAGUUUUCGUGGUCGUGUUUAGGAGUUUGAUUUUCAGCAAAAAGGUGAAAGUGACAAACUGAAAAACUGCUGGCUAAAAUGUUUCACAGCAAACAACAAAUGAACUCACCUGUUGUAGUUCCAAGAAAGUGAGUCAUU